AAUCAACGCUGGCGGCGUGCCUCAGACAUGCAAGUCGAACGCGAAAGUUUCCUUCGGGAGACAAGUAGAGUGGCGCACGGGUGAGUAACACGUAGGUAAUCUACCUUUGGGAUGGGGAAUAACAACCGGGAAACGGUUGCUAAUACCGCAUAAUGCAGCGGCACCUAAUGGUGACAGUUGUUAAAGCGGGGGAUCGAAAGACCUCGCGUCUAAAGAGGAGCCUGCGGCGGAUUAGCAGUUGGUAAGUAAUGGCUUACCAAGGCUACGAUCCGUAACCGGCCUGAGAGGGCGGUCGGUCACAC
rnacentral:rRNA from 1 species